GGUGAGGGAUGAGACAGGGUGCAGCCCAGUACCGUGGGCGGUGUGGACGCGAGCAUGGACGGCGGAGGAGAAUCGACAUGGUGACCUCCUCAAUCGCUACCUGUAUCUCAGCGGCAGGGUUGACAUGCGUCAGGUAGAGAAGACCAUACAGUACCUCAUCGGCGCAGGCAUGGUGAGAUACACCUCUCUCUCUCUCUCUCUACAUUAUGCAGACAUGCAUGAUGGAAACGUCAUGGGAUUUAGAAGUAAGGGGAGUCGGUGGCGAAAGACGAUUACAUGAAAAGCUGCAUCGAACCACUUUCGGCUAAUUUUCGAAUGUAAAUGUCUAGCUUCAUAAUUGAUACCAUUUGAACACACAAGGUUAUCAGUCAAACCAGGUGCUUACCAGAGCAGUCACAGUUCUGUCCUCCGUGCUGAUCUUAGACAUCUUCCUUGCUUGUAGGUUCUACCCGUGGACAACAACCCAUACAUGGGCUUCGUCUACACGUCUUUCCAAGAGAGGGCCACCUUCAUCUCCCACGGCAACACGGCG
rnacentral:lncRNA from 1 species